GGGCCCAACCAGCUGCAGCUUUUACGAUAGAGAACUCAGUUGGGAGAGGGAAAGGCUUAGGAAUUUCCUUAAUAAUAAAAAUUAAAAAGAAAAUGCAGGUUAGUUCAAGCAAAAUAAAAGAUGGAUAUGAAGUGAAAUUGUAGUAUUACAUAGCGCUACCCUACCCCAUGCUUCCCGGAUGUCACAUAGCUUUGACCUAGAUCG
rnacentral:misc_RNA from 1 species